GGAAGUCCCGAGGUCAAAAUGGGAGAUGCCCCCAAGGGUGGUGGAGAAUGACCGAGCUAAGAUCCUGUGGGACUUCCAGAUACAGACAGACAAAAUGGUGGUGGCUAACCAACCGGACAUAGUGGUGGUAGACAAACAGAAGAAGACGGCCGUAGUGAUCGAUGUAGCGGUUCCGAAUGACAGCAAUAUCAGGAAGAAGGAACACGAGAAGCUGGAGAAAUACCAAGGGCUCAGAGAAGAGCUCGAGAGGAUGUGGAGGGUGAAGGUAACGGUGGUCCCCCAGAUCCCGGGAAUAACAUCGGAGAUCUCUGUCCAGAAGAGCGCAGUCCUGGGAACAGCUAAGAUACUGCGCAGGACCCUCAAGCUCCCAGGCCUCUGGUAGAGGACCCGAGCUUGAAGGAUAAACCGCCCGCAGGGGCGUGCUGGGUGUUUUUUUUUUUGUUUUAUAUAUAUGUAUAUAUAUACACAUAUUUAU
ensembl:lncRNA